rnacentral:rRNA from 1 species
GCCCGAAGUGCGAUGGGGCUACCUCGAGUGCCGCCUGAAGAAGGCAGCUUUUCCACUGUCUAACCAGCUGUGGGAAUAAGAGGGGGGCAAGACUGGUGUCAGCCGCCGCGGUAACACCAGCUCCUCGAGUGGUGGGGAUGAUUAUUUGGCCUAAAGCGUUCGUAGCCGGCUCAGUAAAUCUUUCGUUAAAUCCAACGUCCUAAGCGUUGGGCUGCGAGAGACACUGCUGAGCUAGAGGGUGGGCGAGGUCAGCGGUAUUUCUGGGGUAGGGGCGAAAUCCUUUGAUCCCAGGAGGACCACCAGUGGCGAAGGCUGUUGACCAGAACACGCCUGACGGUGAGGGACGAAAGCUGGGGUAGCGAAUCGGAUUAGAUACCCGAGUAGUCCCAGCCGUAAACGAUGCAUGCUAGGUGUUGGAGCGGCCACGUGCCGCUUCAGUGCCACAGGGAAGCCAUUAAGCAUGCCGCCUGGGGAGUACGGGCCCGAAGUGGCCCGAAGUGGCCCGAAGUGGCCCGAAGUG